rnacentral:rRNA from 1 species
CAAUAGCGUAUAUUAAAGUUGUUGCAGUUAAAAAGCUCGUAGUUGGAUUUCUGGUGGGAGCGAUCGGUCUGGCGCUUAGCGCGAGUACUUGCAUCGUCUCCGGCCAUCCUUGGGGAGAGUCUGUCUGGCAUUAAGUUGUCGGGCAGAGGAUCCUCAUCGUUUACUGUGAAAAAAUUAGAGUGUUCAAAGCAGGCUUAUGCCGUUGAAUAUAUUAGCAUGGAAUAAUAAGAUAGGACUUUGGUACUAUUUUGUUGGUUUGCGCACCAUAGUAAUGAUUAAUAGGGACAGUUGGGGGUAUUCGUAUUCCGUUGUCAGAGGUGAAAUUCUUGGAUUUACGGAAGACGAACUACUGCGAAAGCAUUUACCAAGGAUGUUUUCAUUAA